AUUGAACGCUGGCGGCAUGCCUUACACAUGCAAGUCGAACGGCAGCACGGGAGCAAUCCUGGUGGCGAGUGGCGAACGGGUGAGUAAUAUAUCGGAACGUGCCCGGUCGUGGGGAUAACGUAGCGAAAGCUACGCUAAUACCGCAUACGAUCUACGGAUGAAAGCGGGGGAUCGCAAGACCUCGCGCGAUUGGAGCGGCCGAUAUCAGAUUAGGUAGUUGGUGAGGUAAAGGCUCACCAAGCCGACGAUCUGUAGCUGGUCUGAGAGGACGACCAGCCANACUGGGACUGAGACACGGCCCAGGACUCCUA
rnacentral:rRNA from 1 species